CUACGUGCCAGCAGCCGCGGUAAUACGUAGGGUGCGAGCGUUAAUCGGAAUUACUGGGCGUAAAGCGGGCGCAGACGGUUACUUAAGCAGGAUGUGAAAUCCCCGGGCUCAACCUGGGAACUGCGUUCUGAACUGGGUGACUAGAGUGUGUCAGAGGGAGGUAGAAUUCCACGUGUAGCAGUGAAAUGCGUAGAGAUGUGGAGGAAUACCGAUGGCGAAGGCAGCCUCCUGGGAUAACACUGACGUUCAUGCCCGAAAGCGUGGGUAGCAAACAGGAUUAGAUACCCUGGUAGUCCACGCCCUAAACGAUGUCAAUUAGCUGUUGGGCAACUUGAUUGCUUAGUAGCGUAGCUAACGCGUGAAAUUGACCGCCUGGGGAGUACGGUCGCAAGAUUAAAACUCAAAGGAAUUGACGGGGACCCGCACAAGCGGUGGAUGAUGUGGAUUAAUUCGAUGCAACGCGAAGAACCUUACCUGGUCUUGACAU
rnacentral:rRNA from 1 species